GUGUGGUGCUGGGGACCGAGCCUGGGCCAGCGGCGUGCAAACGGGCCCCCUACUCACGGGACCACCUGUGGCCCCUCUGCCCCGGAAGGUUCAUGGUAGGACACACCUGUUCUUGGAGAGCGACCAGGAUUCAGGGGCCCGAAGCGGUGAACAGCCUUGGCCCACCAGCCGGAAGAGGAAGCCGCUGAGGUCAUACUCAGGGAGGAAGAGGGCCAGGGCCAGGAGCAGGAUGAGAAUCUUGCCUCUUUCUCCUCCCCGCAGCGACGGAGAGAAGGACACGGCCCAGUGAGACACAGCGGAGCCCAGCAACACCCCGGCCCCUUGGCAGGACGCUGCACCUCAUCUCCGGGCGCAGAAGCCUGAAGACUCCCCCAAAGCCC